UGGGGAAUAUUGCACAAUGGGCGCAAGCCUGAUGCAGCCAUGCCGCGUGUAUGAAGAAGGCCUUCGGGUUGUAAAGUACUUUCAGCGGGGAGGAAGGCGAUAAGGUUAAUAACCUUGUCGAUUGACGUUACCCGCAGAAGAAGCACCGGCUAACUCCGUGCCAGCAGCCGCGGUAAUACGGAGGGUGCAAGCGUUAAUCGGAAUUACUGGGCGUAAAUCGCACGCAGGCGGUCUGUCAAGUCGGAUGUGAAAUCCCCGGGCUCAACCUGGGAACUGCAUUCGAAACUGGCAGUCUAGAGUCUUGUAGAGGGGGGUAGAAUUCCAGGUGUAGCGGUGAAAUGCGUAGAGAUCUGGAGGAAUACCGGUGGCGAAGGCGGCCCCCUGGACAAAGACUGACGCUCAGGUGCGAAAGCGUGGGGAGCAAACA
rnacentral:rRNA from 1 species